CUUUCAUUCUGAUAGAUGUAAAUGUGUGCUGAUGCGUUUGUUUUAGUCUAUGAUUUUACAUCUGUGUCUGGGUGGUAAGGUCAAUGCCAAUGUUUGUGGACCUCCUUGCGCUCACAGGAUUAUUCCGACAAUCAAACCUGUUCACCAGCCGGCAAAGUGUCUCGUGCCCGUUGCCCUGUCCUUGUCCUUUGUUUGCCGAGAGAACAUUGUGCUGGGUACACGGUGUGUCAACACAGUCUUACCUGGCUCUCCUACACACUGCGCCUCUCCAGGUGUGUAUAGCGGGGUUGAAUUAGGGACAGAUACAUCCAAACUUCACAUGAAUGUCUUGUUGAUCCAGCUUCUUGCUACUUAUUGUUCUGAAUUUUAUUUCUGACAUAGACAAACAAACAAACGCACAUAAGCACAGAAAUAUAUACUCAACAUUUAUAUAACAUAUUUUUACUGCAACGAUGUUUACUGAAAUGUUUUCUGCAUUGUAAUACAGAGAAAAAAAAUAAUUUAAAAAAUCCACGCGACCUGCUAACACCUACGCGAGCAUAGACACACUUGUCAACAAGUCUGCGUCGAACAAUAACGAAAAAACAUCGCCCUCUCCUCUCUUCCUACUGAAAGAAAAAAGAAAACAUUGCUACAUCCGGGUGAGGUAUCAAGGGUCUGAUCAUUCGCACGUUGCUAUUCACGCGAGCACACACACACACGCAGGUUAAAAUAAAAACUAACAAGACAACAAGCCAGCCAGUCUACCUGACUUCAGCUCGGAUGUCACCUUAAACUUCCGCCGUUGUCCGCCACACUGCUCUCGCGCAAUAAUCUGACAGUUAAUUCCGCGAACUCCCAUUUCCGAUUUUUUGCACCUUAACUUACCUGACAACAGUGAAACAACGCGGAAGAAGGGACUUGGGGCUGAGAGCAGACGACGGGGUCUACAUCCAGUGACGCUUGUGGCUGCUGUACAGACAUUGUGAUUCUAUGGUGAGAGGAAUAAUGGGCUUCUGGGAUACGGUGGUGCUACUGGUUGUUGCUCUUUGCUGACAGG